UACAGAGGGUGCGAGCGUUAAUCGGAAUUACUGGGCGUAAAGCGCGCGUAGGCGGCUUUGCAAGUCAGGUGUGAAAUCCCCAGGCUUAACCUGGGAACUGCAUUCGAGACUGCAUUGCUAGAGUAUGGGAGAGGGAAGUGGAAUUUCCGGUGUAGCGGUGAAAUGCGUAGAUAUCGGAAGGAACAUCAGUGGCGAAAGCGACUUCCUGGACCAAUACUGACGCUCAUGUGCGAAAGCGUGGGGAGCAAACAGG
rnacentral:rRNA from 1 species